rnacentral:rRNA from 1 species
UACGUAGGGUGCAAGCGUUGUCCGGAAUUAUUGGGCGUAAAGAGCUCGUAGGCGGUUUGUCGCGUCGAAUGUGAAAACCCGGGGCUCAACCCCGGGCCUGCAUUCGAUACGGGCAGACUAGAGUUCGGUAGGGGAGUCUGGAAUUCCUGGUGUAGCGGUGAAAUGCGCAGAUAUCAGGAGGAACACCAAUGGCGAAGGCAGCUCACUGGGACGGUAUUGACGCUGAGACGCGAAAGCGUGGGGAGCAAACAGG